ACACGAGAAGGGAGGUGGUUCGGCAGAUGUAUGAAUACCGGACGCGUGAGGUGGCUGCUGCGGGCUAGCGGCCCGCCACCACAUCCAGUGCGGUGCCGGGCCAGCACGUGACAGACGCGUGCAGCCGGCCCCAAUCCCAGCAGUCACCCGACCCGCGAGUCGCCGGUACGUCCGGCCGGCUCCUCCCCGGAGGAACCAGACUCGCGGGUCGCCUGCG
rnacentral:sRNA from 1 species